GAAAUGUAGGCCUGAAGGGUGAUGGUGCGUAUCUUGGCAUAUAUUAAUGAUCGGUACUUUAUUUUUAUGAUCCUACUACUAGUCUAUUAUACCACCGGAAAUGUCAAAUCUUGCAAACUAGGCUGAUGUAAAAAUUUAUGCUAUCUGGGCCAAUUGGUAACCGCUGACUGCUUCACACCACACAGCCUUUCACUAUACAUCUACUCACUGCCACUGGCCCUGCAUCCAUACUCGAUCUCUUGUGUGUGAACAUCUUUACAUCAAGUUAAAGAUUUCAUUGCAUUACAGUCCGAUGCUCUCUGUCCCUGAAUUGUAUGCACAGGAGAAGUGGAACGUAAUUUAAUAUUUAUUUAAAAUAUAAUUUUAUAGGCCCUGUUUCAGGAUUAGUCGUUAGCGGAUUGAAUUGGAUGUUUUAACUACCGGAUUGAAAUAGAUGUUUUGACUAGUGGAUUGAAUUAGCCGUUUCUCGUAAAACUGUUUGGUUAAUAGCUGAUUGAUUAGCUUUUUCAGACACAAACCAAAACGUCCAACCCAAAAAGCUCCCAAAAGUAGCUUUUUCAAAAUUAGUUUUUUGGGUCCAAACUUCUAUUUCAAUCCGCUAACUACCAAACACUUAUAUUAGCGGAUUCUAAUGGUCAAACCUCUAAACCACCUCAAACCUCUAAUUUUGCCCCAAAACUCUAAUUUCCAAACAUAGCCAUAAUUUUUUUUUAAUUUUUUGAAAACUCAAUUAUUAAAUUUUUAUUCUAGAGAAAAAAUCCUAAACAUAAAUAAUAGAAUCAUACUUUAUAAAAAAAAUUAAAAUACAUGUAAAAUAGUGAAACUAUAGAAUUGAUCAAUGACACGAGAGAAUACCUCAUAUCCGAUAUGUUUCCUAUAUCGCAGACUCGAAACUCGAAAGGUAUCACAAAGCAUGAACGGAAAAAAUCUCCGUUGCGAAGCAAGGAGAAGUUGAUAAAUUCAGAAAAAGCAAAACAUAUAUAAUUAAACAUGAUAUAUUGAUAUGUGUAAGCGAUGCAUGCCCAGCAGCUCCACCAACAAAACCAAGCUACCUGGUAUGCAACUCUUACAUAUAUCCCUCAUAAAUCCAAAUUUCUAUAUCUUCAUUUCGCUACAUUUCUCGUAAACAACACGAACAUAAUAACACAACAUUAAAACUUAAAAAAACUAAAGGUGAAGUCGGACCGCUACCCUCAAUUCCCCACAAUGCAACAUUAUCCAUCUCCCGGACUUGUCUCAACAUUGAUGUUGAGACACUUGGGAGAGUGAAAUGUGUAUUGCACUGCUUUGUCAUUGUUUGCUUUUGUGAUGCAGUUUACGUGGGCCGCCGUUUCUUGGACCGCCGGCCGCUGUGUCGACGCGAGUCCGGUGAGAUUUGGGGGUUACCGCCGGCCAUGGAUUAGUGAAAAAUGGGUGCUGUGUGAAAUGAGAAAGAGGGUUUUAUUUGGGGGGCUGGCAGGGUAGAGUGAGGAGAAGAGAGAGAGAGGGAGAAAGUGAGAGUAGGCGUGGGAGUAAGGAGGGGACAUGAUGGGUCGUAUAUAAAGGCGAGAAUAGC
rnacentral:lncRNA from 1 species